UAAAAAGAAAAAUUGGAAGUAAGAAAGAAAAGGGAAAAGGAUGCUGCGCCGGAAGCCGCGGCGAGGAUUCCUUAUGAUGCUUGUGCGCGUCCCCGAGGCCCAUCGGUCCUUCAUCCAAGAACCGAUAAACGCGGUGACCGGCGCCUUCACGGCAUUUAUGAUUAAUUUUAUAAUCCAGUCUGGUAGUUUUAAGAAGCGAGUUCUUGCAUCCGCCCUAUUCGAAUCGGCGGGGCGGUGGAGCGCCAGCGAGCCCAAGGUCUCCCAGGCGAGCAUGGCAGGACUGACGGGCUCCCGGCAGGGCGCCUCGGCGUCCAUCGGGACCCCAACGGAGGUGCCGGAGAUCUUUCGGCUACAACGCCGGGCAGGUGGGGCUCGUUAGCCGUGGUAGGCAAUUCACCUAGGAGAGCAAACUCCGAACAAUAAACCCGGGCAGGUGGAGCUCGUCAGCCGUGGUAGGCAGUCUGCCUAGGAGAGCAAACUCCGAACAAUAAACCCGGGCAGGUGGAGCUCGUCAGCCGUGGUAGGCAGUCUGCCUAGGAGAGCAAACUCCGAACAAUAAACCCGGGCAGGUGGAGCUCGUCAGCCGUGGUAGGCAGUCUGCCUAGGAGAGCAAACUCCGAACAAUAAACCCGGGCAGGUGGUGCUCGUUAGAUGUCGUAGACAAUCCACGUGAUGGGAACACCAAAGAAAAGGAAAAUAAAAAGGAACAUCUGAAAAAGGAAAAUAUAGUAACAAAACAUCAAGAAAAUAAAAUAAAAAAUACAGAUCAUCCACCUUCAGGCCCUAACAUCUCUAAAAUUAUGGGUGAGUCUUUUCUGGGGAGAAAGAGGCUCAUCCAGACCAAGGAACAUCAAAAAGGGAUGAUAUAGAAAGGAACACCAAAAAAAUGGGAAAAAGAGAACAAAA